rnacentral:rRNA from 1 species
GUGGGGAAUAUUGGACAAUGGGCGAAAGCCUGAUCCAGCCAUGCCGCGUGUGUGAAGAAGGUCUUCGGAUUGUAAAGCACUUUAAGUUGGGAGGAAGGGCAUUAACCUAAUACGUUAGUGUUUUGACGUUACCGACAGAAUAAGCACCGGCUAACUUCGUGCCAGCAGCCGCGGUAAUACGAAGGGUGCAAGCGUUAAUCGGAAUUACUGGGCGUAAAGCGCGCGUAGGUGGUUCGUUAAGUUGGAUGUGAAAUCCCCGGGCUCAACCUGGGAACUGCCUCCAAAACUGCAUGACUAGAGUACGGUAGAGGGUAGUGGAAUUUCCUGUGUAGCGGUGAAAUGCGUAGAUAUAGGAAGGAACACCAGUGGCGAAGGCGACUACCUGGACUGAUACUGACACUGAGGUGCGAAAGCGUGGGGAGCAAACAGGAUUAGAAACCCGGGUAGUCC